AUUGAACGCUGGCGGCAGGCUUAACACAUGCAAGUCGAGCGGAGAUGAGGUGCUUGCACCUUAUCUUAGCGGCGGACGGGUGAGUAAUGCUUAGGAAUCUGCCUAUUAGUGGGGGACAACAUUCCGAAAGGAAUGCUAAUACCGCAUACGUCCUACGGGAGAAAGCAGGGGAUCUUCGGACCUUGCGCUAAUAGAUGAGCCUAAGUCGGAUUAGCUAGUUGGUGGGGUAAGGGCCUACCAAGGCGACGAUCUGUAGCGGGUCUGAGAGGAUGAUCCGCCACACUGGGACUGAGACACGGCCCAGACUCCUACGGGAGGCAGCAGUGGGGAAUAUUGGACAAUGGGGGGAACCCUGAUCCAGCCAUGCCGCGUGUGUGAAGAAGGCCUUAUGGUUGUAAAGCACUUUAAGCGAGGAGGAGGCUACUGAGACUAAUACUCUUGGAUAGUGGACGUUACUCGUAGAAUAAGCACCGGCUAACUCUGUGCCAGCCGCCGCCGUAAGAC
rnacentral:rRNA from 1 species